AUUGAACGCCGGCGGCAUGCUUUACACAUGCAAGUCGAACGGUAACAGGCCUUCGGGCGCUGACGAGUGGCGAACGGGUGAGUAAUGCAUCGGAACGUGCCCAGUCGUGGGGGAUAACGCAGCGAAAGCUGUGCUAAUACCGCAUACGAUCUGCGGAUGAAAGCGGGGGACCUUCGGGCCUCGCGCGAUUGGAGCGGCCGAUGUCAGAUUAGGUAGUUGGUGGGGUAAAGGCUCACCAAGCCAACGAUCUGUAGCUGGUCUGAGAGGACGACCAGCCACACUGGGACUGAGACACGGCCCAGACUCCUACGGGAGGCAGCAGUGGGGAAUUUUGGACAAUGGGCGCAAGCCUGAUCCAGCAAUGCCGCGUGCAGGAAGAAGGCCUUCGGUUUGUAAACUGCUUUUGUACGGAGCGAAAAGGCUCCCUCUAAUACAGGGGGCUCAUGACGGUACCGUAAGAAUAAGCACCGGCUAACUACGUGCCAGCCGCCGCGGUAAAAC
rnacentral:rRNA from 1 species